UGGGAUUGAAGGACUUGCUCCUCGAAGCC
rnacentral:piRNA from 1 species